CCUACGGGAGGCUGCAGUGGGGAAUAUUGCACAAUGGGCGCAAGCCUGAUGCAGCCAUGCCGCGUGUGUGAAGAAGGCCUUCGGGUUGUAAAGCACUUUCAGCGGGGAGGAAGGCGGUGAGGUUAAUAACCUUAUCGAUUGACGUUACCCGCAGAAGAAGCACCGGCUAACUCCGUGCCAGCAGCCGCGGUAAUACGGAGGGUGUAAGCGUUAAUCGGAAUUACUGGGCGUAAAGCGCACGCAGGCGGUCUGUCAAGUCGGAUGUGAAAUCCCCGGGCUCAACCUGGGAACUGCAUUCGAAACUGGCAGGCUAGAGUCUUGUAGAGGGGGGUAGAAUUCCAGGUGUAGCGGUGAAAUGCGUAGAGAUCUGGAGGAAUACCGGUGGCGAAGGCGGCCCCCUGGACAAAGACUGACGCUCAGGUGCGAAAGCGUGGGGAGCAAACAGGAUUAGAUACCCCUGUAGUC
rnacentral:rRNA from 1 species